ACCCCGGAAGGAAAAUUAGGACACCAACUGUGGAAGACAUUUUGAAUGCAAUGUGUGCAAAUGAUGAGCGGAGCGUAACAGAGCCUAUGGGUUUGACGGAAGUGCUGUCAAGAGAACCGACUACAGAUGAUACUACGGAUGUUUGCAACAUCUGCCACUGUCUGUUCAGUGAUGA